rnacentral:rRNA from 1 species
CCUACGGGUGUGCAGCAGUGGGGAAUAUUGGACAAUGGGCGAAAGCCUGAUCCAGCCAUGCCGCGUGUGUGAAGAAGGCCUUCGGGUUGUAAAGCACUUUCAGUGGGGAAGAAAGCCUUGGGGCUAAUACCCUCGAGGAAGGACAUCACCCACAGAAGAAGCACCGGCUAACUCCGUGCCAGCAGCCGCGGUAAUACGGAGGGUGCGAGCGUUAAUCGGAAUUACUGGGCGUAAAGCGCGCGUAGGCGGUCUGAUAAGCCGGUUGUGAAAGCCCCGGGCUCAACCUGGGAACGGCAUCCGGAACUGUCAGGCUAGAGUGCAGGAGAGGAAGGUAGAAUUCCCGGUGUAGCGGUGAAAUGCGUAGAGAUCGGGAGGAAUACCAGUGGCGAAGGCGGCCUUCUGGACUGACACUGACGCUGAGGUGCGAAAGCGUGGGUAGCAAACAGGAUUAGAUACCCCAGUAGUC